GAUGAACGCUGGCGGCGUGCCUAAUACAUGCAAGUCGAGCGAACAGACGAGGAGCUUGCUCCUCUGACGUUAGCGGCGGACGGGUGAGUAACACGUGGAUAACCUACCUAUAAGACUGGGAUAACUUCGGGAAACCGGAGCUAAUACCGGAUAAUAUAUUGAACCGCAUGGUUCAAUAGUGAAAGACGGUUUUGCUGUCACUUAUAGAUGGAUCCGCGCCGCAUUGGCUAGUUGGUAAGGUAACGGCUUACCAAGGCGACGAUGCGUAGCCGACCUGAGAGGGUGAUCGGCCACACUGGAACUUGGACACGGUCCAGACUCCUACGGGAGGCAGCAGUAGGGAAUCUUCCGCAAUGGGCGAAAGCCUGACGGAGCAACGCCGCGUGAGUGAUGAAGGUCUUCGGAUCGUAAAACUCUGUUAUUAGGGAAGAACAAAUGUGUAAGUAACUAUGCACGUCUUGACGGUACCUAAUCAGAAAGCCACGGCUAACUACGUG
rnacentral:rRNA from 1 species